GGGUCGUUAGCCUCAGUUGGUAGAGCAGUUGACUUUUAAUCAAUUGGUCGCAGGUUCGAAUCCUGCACGACCCACCA
rnacentral:tRNA from 1 species